GACGUAGGUGGCGAACGUUAUCCGGAAUUAUUGGGCGUAAAGGAUGCGUAGAUGGUGUAGUAAGUUAUCGGUGGCAAAUCGAGGCUCAACCUCGUGGAAGUCGGUAAUACUGCUAUGCUAGAGGAUAGGAGAGGUUAACGGAACUCCCUGUGGAGCGGUGAAAUGCGUAGAUAUAGGGAAGAACACCAAUAAGGCGAAGGCAGUUAACUAUUCUAUUCCUGACAUUGAGGCAUGAAAGCGUGGGGAGCAAACAGG
rnacentral:rRNA from 1 species